UACGGAGGAUCCAAGCGUUAUCCGGAUUCAUUGGGUUUAAAGGGUGCGUAGGCGGAAUGAUAAGUCAGUGGUGAAAGCCUGCAGCUUAACUGCAGAACUGCCAUUGAUACUGUCAAUCUUGAGUACAUUUGAUGUGGGCGGAAUGUGUCAUGUAGCGGUGAAAUGCUUAGAUAUGACACAGAACACCGAUUGCGAAGGCAGCUCACAAAACUGUAACUGACGCUGAGGCACGAAAGCGUGGGUAGUCAAAACAGGAAUUAGAUU
rnacentral:rRNA from 1 species